UACGUAGGUGGCAAGCGUUGUCCGGAUUUACUGGGUGUAAAGGGCGUGUAGCCGGGCUGACAAGUCAGAUGUGAAAUUCCGGGGCUCAACCCCGGACCUGCGUUUGAAACUGUUGGUCUUGAGUAUCGGAGAGGCAGGCGGAAUUCCUAGUGUAGCGGUGAAAUGCGUAGAUAUUAGGAGGAACACCAGUGGCGAAGGCGGCCUGCUGGACGACAACUGACGGUGAGGCGCGAAAGCGUGGGGAGCAAACAGG
rnacentral:rRNA from 1 species